rnacentral:rRNA from 1 species
CGGCGAACGGGUGAGUAACACGUGAGCAACCUGCCCCGAAGACUGGGAUAACACCGGGAAACCGGUGCUAAUACCGGAUACCCCACCAGGCCGCAUGACCAGGUGAGGAAAUGAAUUUCGCUUCGGGAGGGGCUCGCGGGCUAUCAGCUUGUUGGUGGGGUAACGGCCUACCAAGGCGACGACGGCUAGCUGGUCUGAGAGGACGACCAGCCACACUGGGACUGAGACACGGCCCAG